AGGACGAACGCUGGCGGCGUGCUUAACACAUGCAAGUCGAACGGUAAGGCCUCUUCGGAGGUACACGAGUGGCGAACGGGUGAGUAACACGUGAGCAACCUGCCCUUGACUCUGGAAUAACAGCUGGAAACAGCUGCUAAUACCGGAUACAACCUCUUGCGACAUCGCAUGGAGGUGGAAAGCUCCGGCGGUCAAGGAUGGGCUCGCGGCCUAUCAGCUAGUUGGUGGAGUAACGGCCCACCAAGGCGACG
rnacentral:rRNA from 1 species